UGGGGAAUAUUGGACAAUGGGGGGAACCCUGAUCCAGCGAUGCCGCGUGGGUGCAGAAGGCCUUCGGGUUGUAAAGCCCUUUAAGCUGGGAAGAAGUUAGUAGUGUGAAUAGCGCUAUCGAUUGACGGUACCGGCCGAAUAAGCACCGGCAAACUCUGUGCCAGCAGCCGCGGUAAUACAGAGGGUGCGAGCGUUAAUCGGAUUAACUGGGCGUAAAGGGCGCGUAGGCGGUUUAGAGAGUGUGAUGUGAAAGCCCUGGGCUUAACCUAGGAAGUGCAUCGCAAACGUUUAGACUGGAGUAUUGGAGAGGGUAGCGGAAUUUCCGGUGUAGCGGUGAAAUGCGUAGAGAUCGGAAAGAACGUCAAUGGCGAAGGCAGCUACCUGGCCAAAUACUGACGCUGAGGCGCGAAAGCGUGGGGAGCAAAC
rnacentral:rRNA from 1 species